rnacentral:rRNA from 1 species
GACGAACGCUGGCGGCGUGCUUAACACAUGCAAGUCGAACGGUGACCCAGGGCUUGCCCUGGUGAUCAGUGGCGAACGGGUGAGUAACACGUGGGCAACCUGCCCCUGACUUCGGGAUAACUCCUCGAAAGAGGAGCUAAUACCGGAUACGACCACUUCGGACAUCCGAUGGUGGUGGAAAGUUUUUCGGUCAGGGAUGGGCCCGCGGCCUAUCAGCUAGUUGGUGGGGUAAUGGCCUACCAAGGCGACGACGGGUAGCCGGGCCUGAGAGGGCGACCGGCCACACUGGGACUGAGACACGGCCCAGACUCCUACGGGAGGCAGCAGUGGGGAAUAUUGCGCAAUGGGCGAAAGCCUGACGCAGCGACGCCGCGUGAGGGAUGAAGGCCUUCGGUUGUAACCGUACUUCUAGCAGGACGAAGCGAAAGUGAACGGUACCUGCAGAAGAAGACACCGGCUAACUACGUAGCCAGCAGCCGCGGUAAU